CCUCGAAUCAGGUGGGACUACCCGCUGAACUUAAGCAUAUCAAUAAGCGGAGGAAAAGAAACUAACAAGGAUUCCCCUAGUAACGGCUAGUGAAGCGGGAUGAGCUCAAAUUUAAAAUCUGAUAGUCUUUGGCUGUCCGAGUUGUAAUCUAGAGAAGUGUUUUCCGCGUUGGACCAUGUACAAGUUUCCUGGAACGGAACGUCAUAGAGGGUGAGAAUCCCGUCCUUGACAUGGACUACCAGUGCUUUGUGAUACACUCUCAACGAGUCGAGUUGUUUGGGAUUGCAGCUCAAAAUGGGAGGUAAAUUCCUUCUAAAGCUAAAUAUUGGCGAGAGACCGAUAGCGAACAAGUACCGUGAGGGAAAGAUGAAAAGCACUUUGGAAAGAGAGUUAAACAGUACGUGAAAUUGUUAAAAGGGAAACGAUUGAAGUCAGUCGCGUUUACUUGGACUCAGCCUUACCUCGGUUUGGUGCAUUUCCUUGUGAACGGGCCAGCGUCAAUGUUGUCCGUUGGAAAAGGGUUGGAGAAAUGUGGCUCUUUCGGGAGUGUUAUAGUCUCUGAUCGUAUACAACGGCUGAUAUUGAGUGGUACAGCUUGCUUCGGCGGUGCUUGUGCUGGC
rnacentral:rRNA from 1 species